rnacentral:rRNA from 1 species
GAACGCKGGCGGCGUGCYUAAUACAUGCAAGUCGAGCGGACCGACGGGAGCUUGCUCCCUUAGGUCAGCGGCGGACGGGUGAGUAACACGUGGGUAACCUGCCUGUAAGACUGGGAUAACUCCGGGAAACCGGGGCUAAUACCGGAUGCUUGAUUGAACCGCAUGGUUCAAUCAUAAAAGGUGGCUUUUAGCUACCACUUACAGAUGGACCCGCGGCGCAUUAGCUAGUUGGUGAGGUAACGGCUCACCAAGGCGACGAUGCGUAGCCGACCUGAGAGGGUGAUCGGCCACACUGGGACUGAGACACGGCCCAGACUCCUACGGGAGGCAGCAGUAGGGAAUCUUCCGCAAUGGACGAAAGUCUGACGGAGCAACGCCGCGUGAGUGAUGAAGGUUUUCGGAUCGUAAAACUCUGUUGUUAGGGAAGAACAAGUACCGUUCGAAUAGGGCGGUACCUUGACGGUACCUAACCAGAAAGCCACGGCUAACUACGUGCCAGCAGCCGCGGUAAUACGUAGGUGGCAAGCGUUGUCCGGAAUUAUUGGGCGUAAAGCGCGCGCAGGCGGUUUCUUAAGUCUGAUGUGAAAGCCCCCGGCUCAACCGGGGAGGGUCAUUGGAAACUGGGGAACUUGAGUGCAGAAGAGGAGAGUGGAAUUCCACGUGUAGCGGUGAAAUGCGUAGAGAUGUGGAGGAACACCAGUGGCGAAGGCGACUCUCUGGUCUGUAA